AAGUCGUAACAAGGUUUCCGUAGGUGAACCUGCGGAAGGAUCAUUAACACGUAUCCAAACGUUAAAACCCCCCCCGUGAACCUUCAUCCUGCUCUUGUAACCCGCGUAGUUCGCAAUCUCUGAUAAAUCAUAGCCCGGAAAGUUGUAGUGAUUCAGAGACCUCUGGCUACGUGCGAACAUUGGAACAGUUACAAUCGAGCGGUAGUUCUAUAGGCAAUGUUUCCCCAAGCAGUCAGUGUCGGAAAGUGUCUCCAUGCCCCCUAAUAACCCCACAGUUUAAUGUCAAGCUCAAUGUAAUACAUUGGGUAAAAAAACCGACCAAUUGUUAACAAUGGAUAUCUUGGUUCUC
rnacentral:misc_RNA from 1 species